CCUGUAUACGCUUGCUUGUAUGUAUUUUGAGCUUGCUUCAUUGCGCUCUCAGGUGAUUCACCUUCACUGCGCAGCAUGGGCGGAGUCUCGUACCUGUGCUCGUGAGUGCUGUCCGCCAUGUUUGUGUGGUUUCGAUGUAAAGAAAACAAUGGAUUAUUUACCAAGAGAUAUGGAUGUAUGGAGUCAUUUCGACAAAACACUUCUGUAUUGUUGUGUGGGUCUAGAGAAAACUGACGAGCAACACUACAGUCCGGCAAACAAACAUAUGAGGAAGAGGAGGAUGAUGGCGGUCCAGCAUUUACAAAGAGAAAGUAACCAGUGUCAUCGCUGAAGGAAUGGCAGACAUUACUCAGACACCUGUGAACACAGACAGAGCACUGCUUGGAGUCCAAGACAGUGGACAUCAUCUUUAUUAUACUUCUGACUGAACUAGCAAGGAGCAUUAGAGACGUUGAGCAAAACUCAAACGAAGAUACUUUGAAGAAUGCUGGUAAUCAAACCCAACAAGUUUGUCAGGUGCAGAAAUGAAAGCUCCCAAACAAAGAUGUCACUGGAUUAAGAAGUGGAAAGACAUGUUACACCACUGCAACCAUAAAUCCUGAGCGAUUUGAAAGGGGGCAACAACCAUGAAAAAGUAUGCAUUGUUUGACUCAAAAAUGAUUCAUGGUAAUAGUUGUAAAUGAUUAGAUAAAGUACAAAAUGUGUUUAAUUUUAAAACUCUGCCAUUUACAGUACUAAUGUGUUGUUCAAAUACUAAGUUUUGGUGUCUCUUUACAAUAAGGUAUAUCUUUAGUUAACAUUAGUAAAUGUUGAAAUUUACAUUAAAUAACAAUGAGCAAUACAUUUGUUACAAUAUACAUUACUAUUUCAUGCUGUUAAAAAACAACAACUGUUCUUUGUUAGUUCAUGUUAGCUCUGAUCCAUUAAAUAAUGUCAACAGGCACACUUUUGUUCUUAAUGUAUUAGUAAAUGUUGAAAAUAACUAGG
ensembl:lncRNA